UGGCGCAACGCAGCGGCGGCUGCGGGAGGCGAGCCGAUAGCGUCAGUAGCACUGUAGCAGAUCCGUCGCUGCCUCUUCACAAGACGUCACCGUACAACAGCGCUUGGCCAACGAUAAACGCACAAUAUUCAACACAACAGAUUGACGUUGAAAUAACCCUGCAAGUUCCCCGACUGUUCAUCUGGCUAUUACGUGGGUUCAACGGAGGAAAUUUGCAACAAGCAUCUCUACAGGUUUUGAAAACAUCAAGAGUUGCUUCUAAAGUGGAAGAGUGUUUGUAAACUGUCACCAAAUGUGAACUGUGCUUCUUAUUUUGUUUGUGAAGAUCAUUUUUUCGAAGAAGAUUUUGUGAAUAAAUGUAGGCAUAGGAUAAACAGGGGUGUGUUUCCAAAACAUGUGACAGGUGUUCCUUGUGAAAAACGGUUUAAAGCUUUAUAACAGUUAAAAGAAAAUUUUUUUGUGUGUUUGAGAAAUAAAUAAAAAGUAAGUUUUGUUUUCA